GGCGGGUCUCGGGUGACACACCCCAGAAUAGGGUUCCCUCCUCUCUGGUUCCGGGUGCGUCAACCCAAGAACCAUA
rfam:Myotis brandtii contig268196, whole genome shotgun sequence.